rnacentral:rRNA from 1 species
UACGAAGGGGGCUAGCGUUGUUCGGAAUUACUGGGCGUAAAGGGCGCGUAGGCGGCCUACUAAGUCGGACGUGAAAUCCCUCGGCUCAACCGAGGAACUGCGUCCGAUACUGGCAGGCUGGAAUCCGGGAGAGGGAUGUGGAAUUCCAGGUGUAGCGGUGAAAUGCGUAGAUAUCUGGAGGAACACCGGUGGCGAAGGCGGCAUCCUGGACCGGUAUUGACGCUGAGGCGCGAAAGCUAGGGGAGCAAACGGG